GUAUGAAAUGAUGGUAUACCAUCUUUCGGGACUGACUUGUCAUGGAGAGAUUUCUUUUACUUUACUGAUCAUGC